rnacentral:rRNA from 1 species
CCUACGGGAGGCAGCAGUGGGGAAUAUUGCACAAUGGGGGAAACCCUGAUCCAGCGACGCCGCGUGAGUGAAGAAGUAUUUCGUUAUGUAAAGCUCUAUCAGCAGGGAAGAAAAUGACGGUACCUGACUAAGAAGCCCCGGCUAACUACGUGCCAGCAGCCGCGGUAAUACGUAGGGGGCAAGCGUUAUCCGGAUUUACUGGGUGUAAAGGGAGCGUAGACGGCAGUGCAAGUCUGGAGUGAAAGGUGGGGGCCCAACCCCCGGACUGCUUUGGAAACUGUAGGGCUGGAGUGCAGGAGAGGUAAGUGGAAUUCCUAGUGUAGCGGUGAAAUGCGUAGAUAUUAGGAGGAACACCAGUGGCGAAGGCGGCUUACUGGACUGUAACUGACGUUGAGGCUCGAAAGCGUGGGGAGCAAACAGGAUUAGAUACCCUAGUAGUC